GACGAACGCUGGCGGCGUGCUUAACACAUGCAAGUCGAACGGAAAGGCCCUGCUUUUGUGGGGUGCUCGAGUGGCGAACGGGUGAGUAACACGUGAGUAACCUGCCCUUGACUUUGGGAUAACUUCAGGAAACUGGGGUUAAUACCGGAUAGGAGCUCCUGCUGCAUGGUGGGGGUUGGAAAGUUUCGGCGGUUGGGGAUGGACUCGCGGCUUAUCAGCUUGUUGGUGGGGUAGUGGCUUACCAAGGCUUUGACGGGUAGCCGGCCUGAGAGGGUGACCGGCCACAUUGGGACUGGGAUACGGCCCAGACUCCUACGGGAGGCAGCAGUGGGGAAUAUUGCACAAUGGGCGGAAGCCUGAUGCAGCAACGCCGCGUGCGGGAUGACGGCCUUCGGGUUGUAAACCGCUUUCGCCUGUGACGAAGCGUGAGUGACGGUAAUGGGUAAAGAAGCACCGGCUAACUACGUG
rnacentral:rRNA from 1 species